CCUGCUGCCAAUACCCUGAGAUCAAAUCAACAGAGACUUGACGUUUCAUGUUUGUUUCUCAGUAAUAAUGGGAAUUGACAGGUGAUGGCUAACAAAAUGCCCUGGCUAGGUUUCCUAAAGCUCUUUUGAGUUGUUGGGUUUGGGGGUUUUGGGGGUUUGUUUGUUCUUGUUUUUAUUUUGAGACAGGGUCUUACUCUGUAACUCUAACCAUGGCUGGCUUGGAACUCCCGUAUAGACAAGGCUGGUCUGUAACCCACAGGGCUCUGCCUGCCAAGUGCAGAGACCAAAGGCGUUUACCGCCACACCCAGCUUAUUAGGUUGUGAUCUUUGUAGCGAGGAACUCAUAAGGAGGCCCAGGCAUUUGUAGCAUGCGGACACCCGCUGUGACCCAGAAGUCAGGAGUAGAAGGUAUUACCACCAGAGCAGCUUGCUGUUUGCCUGUCAUGCAGGGUCAUAUUCGCCCAGUUCUAGAAGAGUUCAGCCACGGUCGUCACAAACUCCAGAUAAAUACCAAGAGACACUUUGGAGGAGAGCAGAAGUUUCUGUUCUUCCCAGGGUGCAUAUGGAAAAUGUCGGCCAUGUUGGAAAUAACCCAUGUCUCUUUGCUUCAGGCGGCCCUUUUCUUGGCCCUGGGGGUGUUGUUCUCCUUGAUCAGCAUCCCCCUAGUCAUCUACGACUGGGCUUGCUCCUCCAGCAAUGGUGAAGGCCACUGAAACCAGCAGCGACCAACCCAGCACCUGCUCACACCCAUCCAGUCCCCAUCAGCAGUCCUCCUACUCUUCUUUUGCAAGUUUACAGAGACAGAAACGCACAGAGCUCCUCUUGGGUUGCGACACAGA
rnacentral:lncRNA from 1 species